rnacentral:rRNA from 1 species
UACGUAGGGGGGCUAGCGUUGUCCGGAUUUAUUGGGCGUAAAGAGCGUGUAGGCGGCCAGGUAGGUCCGGUGUGAAAAACUCGAGGCUUAACCUCGAGAUGUCAUCGGAAACCAUCUGGCUAGAGUCCGGAAGAGGAAAGUGGAAUUCCUGGUGUAGCGGUGAAAAUGCGCAGAUAUCAGGAAGAACACCAAUGGCGAAAGCAGCUUUCUGGGGACGGUACUGACGCUGAGACGCGAAAAGCGUGGGGGAGCGAACAGG